GCCCGCCCGCUCCCGGUUCUCUGGGAGACACCGUCCGGCGACCGACACCGACACCGACACCAAGCAGAAGCCCAAAAGAAACAAACCCCUCGGCACCGGAGGAUGAGAAACCCCGCGCGCCCCAUAGCCCGGGGCCGGCCCCACACCCCCAGGGCACUGCCAGGGGAAGAUCGCGGCACCGGACGCCUGGCGAAGCAGCAGCAGCACGGCUCAGGGACAGCCCCGCGCCCCGGCUCCGGCGCUGACGUUACCCGCUCCCGGCGUCUGCGGCUUCUGGACCCAGGAACCGCAGCCGGGUAUCAGCGCUGUGGGGAGAAGAGUCGGGGGCUCAGUGGGGCGGGGGUGGCGGUGACACGGGGACACGGGGACGGCGCUACCUGCGCCGGGGGGGGAUGCGCACGGACGCAUGCACGGCUCGGCUGACUGCGUGGGACGGGGCCAUCCCAAAGAGACGCAGCGUGUGCCCCGCACGGGGACGCGAGCUCGAGUGAUCCCAAAUGCACAGGUCCUGCCUGGGGACGGGGACAGGUCCUGCUCGGGGACAGGGACAGGUCCUGCUCGGGGACAGGGACAGGUCCUGCUUGGGGACGGGUCCUGCCUGGGGAUGGGGACAGGUCCCACUUGGAGGCAGGUCCUGCUCCAGGAUGGGUCCUACUUGGGGACAGGAUGGGGACAGGUCCUGUUCGGGGAUGGGUCCUGCUUGGGGACGGGGACAGGUCCUGCUUGGGGAUGGGG
rnacentral:lncRNA from 1 species